CCUACGGGAGGCAGCAGUCGGGAAUUUUGGGCAAUGGGCGAAAGCCUGACCCAGCAACGCCGCGUGAGGGAUGAAGGCCUUCGGGUCGUAAACCUCUGUCGAGAGGGAAGAAAGGUCCGCGCACGAACAAUGCGCGGGCUUGACGGUACCUCCAAAGGAAGUGCCGGCUAACUCCGUGCCAGCAGCCGCGGUAAUACGGAGGGCACAAGCGUUGUUCGGAAUCACUGGGCGUAAAGCGCGUGUAGGCGGCCAGGCAAGUCGGUUGUGAAAUCCCGAGGCCCAACCUCGGAACUGCAACCGAAACUGCUUGGCUCGAGUCCCGGAGAGGGUGGCGGAAUUUCCGGUGUAGAGGUGAAAUUCGUAGAUAUCGGAAGGAACACCAGUGGCGAAGGCGGCCACCUGGACGGUGACUGACGCUGAGACGCGAAAGCGUGGGGAGCAAACAGGAUUAGAUACCCUGGUAGUCCACGCCGUAAACGUUGGGUGCUAGGCGUCGGGGGUAUUGACCCCUCCGGUGCCGAAGCUAACGCAUUAAGCACCCCGCCUGGGGAGUACGGCCGCAAGGCUAAAACUCAAAGGAAUUGACGG
rnacentral:rRNA from 2 species